ACCACAAUGGGUCCUGCUCUUGGGCCCUUUGAGGGGGGCGGGGAGCUAAUGACAGAGGAAUCUCCCCGAGGGCCCUAAAAAGGGGCUUUUGUAGCGGGCUGGCCGGCUUCUGUGGCAGCUUGGGGCAACAUUUCAAAAAUACAGGUGCGCCACAUUUUAAGCAAAACUAGUCAUUGUUUUGUAGCGCUUUAAACAUUAUUUUAAAGUUUGUCAUUGCAGAGGUGUUAUUUAUUGCUACGGAAACUGAGAACCAAGGGGCAGAAAGAUAACCUGGCAGAACUGGGACAGGCCUAAGAGGCAUUGCUACCCAGGCUACGCUUAGUCAUGUUUUGUUUGCUCGUGAGUAUCCGUGGUCUGAUUCUCUCUCACUCAUUGUGUGUCCAUCACAGUCCUGGUCUGUGGUGAGCACGCCAGAGGAAUACUUGGUGGAGAGGCCCAGCGAGGUCCCUAGUUCUGGGUGGGACAGGGUCUCCUCGUACACACCAAGCUGGAAGUCUAGGCAACUGAGUUUCCCGACUGUCUAGCAUUCAAAAUUCAGCUGUGGUCCAAGGGCACCUCCUGGCGGUAAAAACAAGCUUAGGCGUGCCAGGUGCGGCGGCUCACGCCUAUAAUCCCAGCACUUUGGGAGGCCAAGGCGGGCGGAUCACGAGUUCAGGAGUUCGACACCAGCUUGGCCAACAUGGUGAAACCCCGUGUCUACUAAAAAUACAAAAAAUAGCCCGGCGUGGUGGCGGGCGCCUGUAAUCCCAACUACUCGGGAGGCUGAGGCAGGAGAAUCGUUGGAACCCGGGAGGCGGAGGUUGCAGUGAGCCGAGAUGGCGUCACUGCACUCCAGCCUGGGUGACAGAGCAAGACUCGGUCUCAAAAAAAAAAAAAAAAGAAGUUUAGGCUGAUUCCCCACUGUCACCUUCCAGCAAAGAGUAGCCUUUUAUGGAGAUUGAUGGAUUGGGUUUAUCUCCUAGUAGAGCCCGCCAGGGAGGUUGUCAGCCACCAUUCCUCAUUUUAGUGGCUCCAUAAUGGCUUCUCUGAUACCAUCUGGGACACAUUCCCCAGGCUGCCCUCUUCCACCCCAGCUACUUGGAUAUGUUCUUUACCUGAGUUCUUUUUGUUUCUCAGCCAUUUCAGAAGAGGCACUGUCCUUCCAAUUUUAUUUUAUUUUUAUUUUUUGUUUAAUUUUUUAAAGACAGAGUCUCACUGUGUCGCCC
rnacentral:lncRNA from 1 species